GCAUUCCCAAACAUUCAACUCUACACAAUUUCCCUUUCUUUGAUCCCUAUCUUUUUUUCUUUUUCUUUUUACAUCCACACAACCAUGAGCAUUUUCUUUGCUUUUUUCUUUCUUUUCUUUUUUCUUUGCUCUAUGGUUUCAAGGGUGAUUUAUUUUUCUUGUUUCUUUUCAUAUUUUUACCCUUUCAUAAAAACUCACUUUUCCAAGUUUCUAAUCAACUUUUCACUUUA
rnacentral:lncRNA from 1 species